UACGUAGGGGGCUAGCGUUGUCCGGAAUCAUUGGGCGUAAAGCGCGUGUAGGCGGUCCUGUAAGUCCGCUGUGAAAGUCGGGGGCUCAACCCUCGGAUGCCGGUGGAUACUGUCGGGCUUGAGUACGGAAGAGGCGAGUGGAAUUCCUGGUGUAGCGGUGAAAUGCGCAGAUAUCAGGAGGAACACCAAUGGCGAAGGCAGCUCGCUGGGACGUUACUGACGCUGAGGAGCGAAAGCGUGGGGAGCGAACAGG
rnacentral:rRNA from 1 species